UGGACUACUGGGGUUUCUAAUCCUGUUUGCUCCCCAUGCUUUCGCACCUCAGCGUCAGUGUUAGGCCAGAUGGCUGCCUUCGCCAUCGGUAUUCCUCCAGAUCUCUACGCAUUUCACCGCUACACCUGGAAUUCUACCAUCCUCUCCCACACUCUAGCUAACCAGUAUCGAAUGCAAUUCCCAAGUUAAGCUCGGGGAUUUCACAUUUGACUUAAUUAGCCGCCUACGCGCGCUUUACGCCCAGUAAAUCCGAUUAACGCUUGCACCCUCUGUAUUACCGCGGCUGCUGGCACC
rnacentral:misc_RNA from 1 species